CAUUAAUGAAUUUUGAUUGGGAGUUGAUGCUGGCAGUCAUUUCUUUUGGCUGCAUGUGCUUGCCCCUAAUAAUCUUUAUCCAAACACCUGUGCAUGAUUUCGAGGGCUUCCAAGUUGACUUUGUUGUCUUCCCGGAUUCCCUUGUUUUUCCCACUUUUAUACACUGCUUGCAAUGUCGAAUGUGCUAUGUGCCGUAAGGCCUUUAACGCAAUAUACAACUUUUAACAACGGAUCUCUUGGCUCUCGCAUCGAUGAAGAACGCAGCGAAAUGCGAUAAGUAAUGUGAAUUGCAGAAUUCAGUGAAUUAUCGAAUCUUUGAACGCACCUUGCGCUCCCUGGUAUUCCGGGGAGCACGCCUGUUCGAGUGUCGUGAAAUUUCUCAAGCUUAAGAUGUUUUUCUUAGUCUUGGUGUUGGGCUCUGCCGUGUCUCUUAUUGGGAUGGCUGGCCUUAAAAGCAUUAGCUGGCCUUUAUGUGGGGCAAUUGGUUCUACUCGGCGUGAUUAAUGAUUUUGACCGCUGAGGACAUCUUUAUGGAUGGCCAGUUCUCACUUAGGUUGCUUCUAAUCUUGGUUGUACUGAUUGUUGGUCCGUGUGCCCCAUUUUUCAGCUUUGACCUCGAAUCAGGUGGGACUACCCGCUGAACUUAAGCAUAUCAAUAAGCGGAGGAAAAGAAACUAACAAGGAUUCCCCUAGUAACGGCGAGUGAAGCGGGAAAAGCUCAAAUUUAAAAUCUGGCAAUCUUUGGU
rnacentral:rRNA from 1 species